UACGUAGGGGGCAAGCGUUGUCCGGAAUUACUGGGCGUAAAGCGCGCGUAGGCGGCUUUGCAAGUCGGGUGUGAAAUCCCCAGGCUUAACCUGGGAACUGCAUUCGAGACUGCAUUGCUAGAGUAUGGGAGAGGGAAGUGGAAUUUCCGGUGUAGCGGUGAAAUGCGUAGAUAUCGGAAGGAACAUCAGUGGCGAAAGCGACUUCCUGGACCAAUACUGACGCUCAUGUGCGAAAGCGUGGGGAGCAACAGG
rnacentral:rRNA from 1 species